GCCUUCGUGGUGAAACGGUAGCACAUUCUGUGCGUAUUCGAGAGGUCCAGGUUCAAGUCCCGGCGAGGGCA
rnacentral:tRNA from 1 species